UGAGGAAUAUUGGGCAAUGCCCGAAAGGGUGACCCAGCAACGCCGCGUGGAGGAUGAAGGUCGUAAGAUUGUAAACUCCUGUUAGAGGGGAAGAAUAACUAAGUUUGGAGCUUAGUAUGACUGUACCCUCAGAGAAAGCCCCGGCUAACUACGUGCCAGCAGCCGCGGUAAUACGUAGGGGGCAAGCGUUGUCCGGAUUUACUGGGUGUAAAGGGCGCGCAGGCGGAAUGGAAAGUCAGUGGUGAAAUCCUACAGCUUAACUGUAGAACUGCCUUUGAUACUUUCAUUCUUGAGUUCGGGAGAGAGAGACGGAAUUCCAGGUGUAGUGGUGAAAUACGUAGAUAUCUGGAAGAACACCAGUGGCGAAGGCGGUCAACUGGCCCAUAACUGACGCUCAUGCACGAAAGCGUGGGGAGCAAACA
rnacentral:rRNA from 1 species